rnacentral:pre_miRNA from 1 species
GGGGGGAGGUCAGAUCCUGGGCUGUGUCCCCGGUGCCCUGUGCUCCUGGGCCUGCGCUGUUGGAUUCCAGCUCCGGGCCACUGCAGUCCCCU